GUGACCGCUGGCGCGGUCGAUCGCCAUUCAGCAAACCCUUACCCCCGAGUGCCCGUCGACCAUUUCUGUGGAGAGCGGAGCCCUAUCUUCCACCCCGAUGACCCCUCCUACCUGGCGUCCUGCCUAGCCCCCGACGACCUCCCCCAUCCUCCCGACCACCCCCAGUCAUCCCACCUAUCCACCAACGUCGGCGAACUCCACCUACCUCUCCAGAUCCGGUGGCCGCUUUCGUCCCGAGUUGGCCCUCUUCGAUCUGCUGCUUGUGGGACGAGUUCCCGAGACCCUCCACCGGUUGCUGGUCGUGGCGUGGAUGCUUUCCGUGAGCUUCUCAACCUGCAGUAGCUUGUCCAUGUCAACCUCCAGCCGGUUCCCCUUCAGUGGAUCAAGGUAUCUAGCACCAGAAUAUGUGUCUUCUGGCAAGCUCACUGAAAAGUGAGGCGUAUUUUUGGAAUGACGCUUCUUAAGCUGAUAACUGGUUGUUGGCCCGACCAAACGUAUAUGGUUGCGAGCUUGGUUGACUGGCGUAUCUGAGUCCCCGAAAUGCGCUCAGGUAGCAUAAGGUUAUCGAAGCCGAUGAUGUCCAACAGUGGUGACGAUGCCUUUUGUCUCGGAGUUCGGCGGUGGCGGUGACCUGCACCCUCGGGUAUACAAUGGCGUCGGAAUGGCGGUGAAUUAAGUGCUGAUCAAGAGGAAGCUGAUGUGCUCUCUCGAGCAACCGUACAAAGGCCAUCGCAGAAAAGAUGAAAAACUCCAGGAAAAUUACAAAUGCCAGUGGGCCCUACCUCUAUAGGGGAAAUACACGGCCACCAGCCCACCGUGGUCUGCUAUGAUUGCUUUGACAAAUCCUCCAGGUAUGUGCUCAGUGUUGUUUCCUUGACCCUUGAUCGAACGAAAGCCAAAUAAAUUUUCUUGCAACCAUAAUUUAGCCGAAUGAAGCAUCAAUGAGGCUUCAGCUACUUCCAAGUGUAAUUUAAGGUGAAAUAGCAAGGAGAUUUAACUUUUGAGGGAACAAGCCUUGACAAGGUGCGUGCAUAUCCUGAAGCACCGGCAGGUGCCAACCGAGCAACCUUUCAGUAUGUAUUCCAUUUGAUAAGAGUCAGCUGUUCCGUUGCUCAAAGAGAGGCUAUGCGAGAAGGGAAAAAGGUUUUAGAAAGUACGAAGGACCAAUCCAAGGCGUGUAGCUGCAACUUGACUCCUAAGAAUGUGGAAUCAUGCAGCACCUACAACAUGCUCAACGUUUACAACUAUCAAACAAUCCUUCCAAACAUUUGCUUCCCUCUUCCAAGCUGUAUGCAUUUUCCCAGCAUAUGUGCACUACUAUGAAAUGGCACUAAUAAAAUGGUGUACUGCUGAGCUUUCAGAGAGGAUGUGAGGAUUUAUAUGCCACAGCAGCCCCCUUGACGGUCUAAAACAGUGAGCUAUCAUGUUUGGGGAACAAAGUACGAUUAGUUUAGUGCUGGGAAAGUAAGGUAUCACCUUGUUGAGGAUCAAGAAACUUUGAAAGUUUUGUCAGUUUUGCUGCAUGAUUCAAAAGUUCUAAGUACCUGUACAUUCAAUUUUUUGGCAUCUCCCAAGAUGGUGAAGUUCUUGCUGUAACAAGUGGAUAGAUGUUGUAAUUGUUAUGUGCAGAAACUGGUGCAAUCCGCUUUAUUUUUUGUUCUUUGAUAUGAGUGGGAAUAGUUUAAAACGGUUUUUUGUGCUGCUGAAAGUGGCAGUUCA